UAUUUAAAAAAAACAGAAGGAUUCUCUGAAAGGGGGCCGAGAGCAAACCCUCGGAGCUCUGUUGAGCUUCCAUCAUUGGGUUCCUACGCGCUCACGCGCCACCACUGACUUCGCCGAGUACGGUGGUCAGAAUACGAAUCGUUUCGCCUUUUUCACAGCAAAAAGGUAAUCUCUUUUAUUUAUUUUUUUUACAGUAUUUUGCAUGUAUGAAACGUUGAUAUCUAAGAAAAGAAAAAAGAUCACCUUUGUUUUCUGACAAAGUAAAGAAAUCGAUAAUAUUCUUCUGUGCUCUUUUUUAUUUCCCUUAUUUUUUUCCUUACAGAUUAAAAAGAAAGGCUUUUAUAGCCCUUUGUAAGUCAUUACAGUUUGGGAAUGAAAUCUCUGAUUUCUUUCCAUAUUUUGCUUCUCUUUUUCUUCUGUCGUUCUUUCCAUUUUUUGCAGGUGACGACGAGAAAAUCCGUCAGUGAAUUCGCUAACGUUGAUUCGCCCGUUGAUUGCAGAGUGAUACGAGGCCGGAGUCACGGGGUAAGACGAAGAGGCGUGUCUGUUGCGGCGCGAAGCUUCUAGAAACCCUAGGGUUUCUAGAUUUAGUUUAGGCACUGGGCCUCGCUAGUUUGGGUCUGGCUCGGGUAUUUGGGCUUGGGUGUAACCGGGCUAGUGGGUAGUUUAGGUUAAUUGGGUUCUAAGAAUUUGGGUAUUCUGGUUCAAACCAUUUGGGCUGCAAAUGUAACCGGGCUCUUUUGUUUGGGUUAUCAGGCUUUUAAGCCUGUUUAUUGUAAACAGACAUUUUAUUAUUUUUACUCUAAUUCACGGGCUCGGGUAAAUUUGUGUUAUUACAAACAGCAUAAGGGUGUUCCCUCAGCUUGACUCGUUGAAACUCAUCAAUCUUUCUAAUCUCAAAAGAUUUUGCCCUGGAGUUAACCUAAUAGAAUUUCCCUUUUCUAAGACAAUUAGAAAUAAUCAAAUGUCCUGUUUUGAGCACAUUCCAUUUUGAUACCACAAGUAUUGG
rnacentral:lncRNA from 1 species